rnacentral:rRNA from 1 species
GCUGGGUGGAUUAGUGGCGAACGGGUGAGUAACACGUGAGUAACCUGCCCUUAACUCUGGGAUAAGCCUGGGAAACUGGGUCUAAUACCGGAUAGGAGCGUCCACCGCAUGGUGGGUGUUGGAAAGAUUUAUCGGUUUUGGAUGGACUCGCGGCCUAUCAGCUUGUUGGUGAGGUAAUGGCUCACCAAGGCGACGACGGGUAGCCGGCCUGAGAGGGUGACCGGCCACACUGGGACUGAGACACGGCCCAGACUCCUACGGGAGGCAGCAGUGGGGAAUAUUGCACAAUGGGCGAAAGCCUGAUGCAGCGACGCCGCGUGAGGGAUGACGGCCUUCGGGUUGUAAACCUCUUUCAGUAGGGAAGAAGCGAAAGUGACGGUACCUGCAGAAGAAGCACCGGCUAACUACGUGCCAGCAGCCGCGGUAAUACGUAGGGUGCGAGCGUUAUCCGGAAUUAUUGGGCGUAAAGAGCUCGUAGGCGGUUUGUCGCGUCUGUCGUGAAAGUCCGGGGCUUAACCCCGGAUCUGCGGUGGGUACGGGCAGACUAGAGUGCAGUAGGGGAGACUGGAAUUCCUGGUGUAGCGGUGGAAUGCGCAGAUAUCAGGAGGAACACCGAUGGCGAAGGCAGGUCUCUGGGCUGUAACUGACGCUGAGGAGCGAAAGCAUGGGGAGCGAACAGGAUUAGAUACCCUGGUAGUCCAUGCCGUAAACGUUGGGCACUAGGUGUGGGGACCAUUCCACGGUUUCCGCGCCGCAGCUAACGCAUUAAGUGCCCCGCCUGGGGAGUACGGCCGCAAGGCUAAAACUCAAAGGAAUUGACGGGGGCCCGCACAAGCGGCGGAGCAUGCGGGAUUAAUUCGAUGCAACGCGAAGAACCUUACCAGGGCUUGACAUUUUCUCGAUCGCCGUAGAGAUACGGUUUCCCCUUUGGGGCGGGUUCACAGGUGGUGCAUGGUUGUCGUCAGCUCGUGUCGUGAGAUGUUGGGUUAAGUCCCGCAACGAGCGCAACCCUCGUUCCAUGUUGCCAGCACGUAAUGGUGGGGACUCAUGGAAGACUGCCGGGGUCAACUCGGAGGAAGGUGAGGACGACGUCAAAUCAUCAUGCCCCUUAUGUCUUGGGCUUCACGCAUGCUACAAUGGCCGGUACAAUGGGUUGCGAUACUGUGAGGUGGAGCUAAUCCCAAAAAGCCGGUCUCAGUUCGGAUUGGGGUCUGCAACUCGACCCCAUGAAGUCGGAGUCGCUAGUAAUCGCAGAUCAGCAACGCUGCGGUGAAUACGUUCCCGGGCCUUGUACACACCGCCCGUCAAGUCACGAAAGUUGGUAAC